AAAACCCAAGGUAAAAUCAACUUAUCAGGACCUUUCUGGCUCUUGCAAUUAUGGCUCAAUGCCACAUUUGAAGCUUCUCUCCCUGUAGAGCCAGAGGUAGAUGAAGAAAAAGUGAAAAAUAGGACUGUCGAAUGGCCAAGGUUGGUGCAAAUAACGCCAACUGAUGAAGGGAUUAGCCUUCGACAAGCUUUCAAAAGUUAUGUCAUGAUGUUUGCCAAGAGGUAUCAGUUU
rnacentral:lncRNA from 1 species